AUUGAACGCUGGCGGCAGGCCUAACACAUGCAAGUCGAGCGGUAGAGAGGUGCUUGCACCUCUUGAGAGCGGCGGACGGGUGAGUAAUGCCUAGGAAUCUGCCUAGUGGUGGGGGAUAACGUUCGGAAACGGACGCUAAUACCGCAUACGUCCUACGGGAGAAAGCGGGGGAGUCUUCGGACCUCGCGCCAUUAGAUGAGCCUAGGUCGGAUUAGCUAGUUGGUGAGGUAAUGGCUCACCAAGGCGACGAUCCGUAACUGGUCUGAGAGGAUGAUCAGUCACACUGGAACUGAGACACGGUCCAGACUCCUACGGGAGGCAGCAGUGGGGAAUAUUGGACAAUGGGCGAAAGACCUGAUCCAGCCAUGCCGCGUGUGUGAAGAAGGUCUUUCGGAUUGUAAAGCACUUUAAGUUGGGAGGAAGGGUAGUAACCUAAUACGUUG
rnacentral:rRNA from 1 species